rnacentral:rRNA from 1 species
AGUGAACGCUGGCGGUAGGCCUAACACAUGCAAGUCGAACGGCAGCACAGUAAGAGCUUGCUCUUACGGGUGGCGAGUGGCGUACGGGUGAGGAAUACAUCGUAAUCUACUUUUUCGUGGGGGAUAACGUAGGGAAACUUACGCUAAUACCGCAUACGACCUACGGGUUAAAGCAGGGGAUCUUCGGACCUUGCGCGAUUGAAUGAGCCGAUGUCGGAGUAGCUAGUUGGCGGGGUAAAGGCCCACCAAGGCGACGAUACGUAGCUGGUCUGAGAGGAUGAUCAGCCACACUGGAACUGAGACACGGUCCAGACUCCUACGGGAGGCAGCAGUGGGGAAUGUUGGACAAUGGGCGCAAGCCUGAUCCAGCCAUACCGCGUGGGUGAAGAAGGCCUUCGGGUUGUAAAGCCCUUUUGUUGGGAAAGAAAAGCAGCAGGUUAAUACCCCGCUGUUCUGACGGUACCCAAAGAAUAAGCACCGGCUAACUUCGUG